GGGGGGGGGGGGGGGGGGGGGGGGGCGAGGCGUCGCGGCGAAGGACGAUAAGAUGGCCGGCGUGCUCUCUUGGGGCGACGCGUCGCGGUGCUCCGGUUCCGCCAAAUGACGGGAGAGGGCCAGGCGUGGCUUGGCGUAGCCAAGAGCCACGAGUUCGUCGGCGCCGGCCUCCGGAGCUGGCCUUGGCAGGCUGAAGCGUCGCGGCGGAGGGCGAUAAGGCGGCCGGCUUGCUCUCUUGGGGCGAGGCGCCGCGGCGCUCCGGCUCCGGCAGAGGGCCAGGCGUGGCUUGGCGUCGCCAAGAGCCACGAGGUCGUCGGCGCCGGCCUCCGGAGCUGGCCUUGGCGGGCUGAAGCGUCGCGGCGGAGGGCGAUAAGGCGGCCGGCUUGCUCUCUUGGGGCGAGGCGCCGCGGCGCUCCGGCUCCGGCAGAGGGCCAGGCGUGGCUUGGCGUCGCCAAGAGCCACGAGGUCGUCGGCGCCGGCCUCUGCGCCAUGCUGGACAAGCUGCUGCUGCCCCCCUGCGCCGCCCAGCUUCAGUUCUCUGAAUCCUUAAUUUCGUGUGGUGAUUUGGACGGAAUUGAAGACCGCGUCCUUCUCCAACACAAAUCAAUGUCCAAUGUAAUCGAGUUGGAGUCUGUGUUCCUCUCUGACACAAAAGCAUGUACUGCCCGACACGGAUUGGACUUGGCUUCCAUAAGAAGGAAGGAUCCUCGACCGGAACGUCCAUUAGGCUGCAAUUGCAUUGCAACUUUCAGAGGAACGUCCAAUGUUGCCGGCGGAGGAAAAUCAUCCUUUGAGCCAUACUAUGCCGAGUUCGCCGGCAGAAGAACACCCGAUGAGCUGUCCAUCGCCUGAGGCGGCUACACCAGAGGUGCCAACGGUGUCUGAUCAAACUCAGGUGGAACCAAGGAGGUUCGGCUCUCGGACAUUGCACCAAUGACGCUGGAUGAUACCGACGUGCAUACUGUUGCAAUCACGAACGAGCAGCAAAUUUUGCACUGAACUACUGGCAUAAGGCAGUGAAAUACUUUUUGCUCACGUGAGUGGAAGUUUGGAACAUAAGAAGAACAGAUAACAAAGUGUAUGCACUACACAUAUGCUACUACUUAGAUCCUUAUUGCUUGUCUUGCAAUGAAAGAGUACAUGUCCUUCCAUAUAUAUAGGACUUACAAACUAACUAAGGACCGAGUAUUUCUACUAGCAGCUUAUUACUCAUCUUUGCAAUUUUAUUGUCUCGGAAGCAUAAAGGUAAAAUUUAAUAAAUCUCUUUCUUUUAAA